GGAGUUGUAGCUCAGUGGCAGAGUGCUUGCCUAGCAUGUAUGAGACCCUGGGUUCUAUCCCCAGCACCA
rnacentral:tRNA from 1 species